UACGUAGGGUGCAAGCGUUAUCCGGAAUCAUUGGGCGUAAAGAGCUCGUAGGCGGUUCAGCGAGUCGGCUGUGAAAGUCCGAGGCUUAACCUCGGAAUUGCAGUCGAUACUGUUGUGACUCGAGUCCGGUAGAGGAGAAUGGAAUUCCCGGUGUAGCGGUGAAAUGCGCAGAUAUCGGUAGGAACACCAGUAGCGAAGGCGGUUCUCUGGGCCGGCACUGACGCUGAUGGACGAAAGCGUGGGGAGCGAACAGG
rnacentral:misc_RNA from 1 species